UUUCUUUGAAAUGUAACACCUUUGAGGAGGAACAACACUUCUAAAUGCUUCGGAAGAAGUAGCGAGUCCCCCCACACGCACGCACCCCGCAUGUUGCAGGCUGCAGCUCCUUUUCACGCGCACACAUGAGACCUUUCAAAGGAGGGAGAAACCGUCUGUGAGCAACAUGAGAUAAGCGAAGAAGCAGCGCCCUUACAAGAUAGCAUCGACCUAAGCGGUGCGCAGAUGCAGGCACCACUUUCGCGCUGGAGGCUGAGCCAUGGCCACUCUGGAGAGGAGCAACUGACUCCACCUCUAUGGAAACUGCCACCAAGGAAGGUGGCACUGAUAUAGAGUUACUGAGACUUCGUGGUGCGUAACAGAUACAAAGGACGGCAAAGAAAGGAGGGAAAUGUUGCAGAUGCUUCACAAACUGGAUGAUAUAUAACAGUGCAACGAAGGGCAGAAUUAAACGCAUCUGUGUUCUCACUGAGCACAACGAGCACAAAAGAAAAGGCUGUCAGCACCUCAGUCCUCCAGGACACACAAAGCCUGAGCUGCUAUGCUGAUUAUUUGGUCUCUUCCAGGCUCCCCGCACAUCUCUCUUCAGAAGAACUGGACCCCACGCCUCUGCACCUACUGUGUAUGCAUAUUUU
rnacentral:lncRNA from 1 species